rnacentral:rRNA from 2 species
CAUCCUGAAGAUUGAAGCUUGCUUCAUGAUUCAGAUUUUGGUGAGUGGCGGACGGGUGAGUAACACGUGGGUAACCUGCCCAAAAGUGGGGGAUAACAUUUGGAAACAAGUGCUAAUACCGCAUAACAACUACUUUCACAUGAUCGUAGCUUGAAAGAUGGCUCUGCUAUCGCUUUUGGAUGGACCCGCGGCGUAUUAGCUAGUUGGUGAGGUAAUAGCUCACCAAGGCAAUGAUACGUAGCCGACCUGAGAGGGUAAUCGGCCACAUUGGGACUGAGACACGGCCCAAACUCCUACGGGAGGCAGCAGUAGGGAAUCUUCCACAAUGGGCGAAAGCCUGAUGGAGCAAUGCCGCGUGAGUGAAGAAGGUUUUCGGAUCGUAAAACUCUGUUGUUGAAGAAGAACAUGCGUGAGAGUAACUGUUCGCGUACUGACGGUAUUCAACCAGAAAGCCACGGCUAACUACGUGCCAGCAGCCGCGGUAAUACGUAGGUGGCAAGCGUUGUCCGGAUUUAUUGGGCGUAAAGAGAAUGUAGGCGGUUUAUUAAGUUUGAAGUGAAAGCCCUCGGCUCAACCGAGGAAGUGCUUCGAAAACUGGUAAACUUGAGUGCAGAAGAGGAAAGUGGAACUCCAUGUGUAGCGGUGGAAUGCGUAGAUAUAUGGAAGAACACCAGUGGCGAAGGCGGCUUUCUGGUCUGUAACUGACGCUGAGAUUCGAAAGCAUGGGUAGCAAACAGGAUUAGAUACCCUGGUAGUCCAUGCCGUAAACGAUGAGUGCUAGUGUU